ACUUAUUCUGCUAGCCCCAGAGGACUAACAGGUGGAAAUGAAAUUGUUGCAAAUUUUAACUCGUUAUAAAGAACUUCCUAGAAUUUGGAGCAGUCCUAAGCAUAGAAUGAGUUGCUUCCAGAACUCAGGGAGAGACAUUUGGACAGGUGCGGAAGCUGCUGUAAUGAAGAUUCUGGAGUGGGGGAGAGGUGGAGGACUGCGGCUCUGAGGAGGGUUGGACUGGAUGACCUCUGAAGUCCCUUGCACUUGGACAUUCUGCGGUCUCCUAUGACUUUGGUCAGGAGUUCAGGGUUCUCUUCACCUGACAAGCCACCAAAGGCUGCAAAGCUUCCUUCACUUGCUCUGCAAGGCGCCUAGGAGGUGCUGCUGAGGUAUCGCAGAGUGAGGGAGUGGGCCGUGGGGGAAGCAGUUCUAGGAAUCUGGACCACGUGCGAACCACGUGGCGCUGGUGCCGACCCGGGCCCCGGGAGGUGGCGCAGGGGCCUGCCGGGUGCUACGGCAAGCCGGGCAGGAAGAAGGAGAGUGGCGCUGCCCGUGGCAGACAGGCCCAGGGCUGGAAGGAGGUGAAGAAACAGCAGAUAGAAGUUAAGUGACUUGACCAAGGCCACAGAGGUAAUAACUGCUAGAGACAGUGUUUGAAUUCAGGUCUUCCUGACUCCAAGUGUAUCAGUCUGUCCACUAUGCUGCCAAGCUCUUCUCAUUGCCGGAAUACAAAAGAAGAAGUAGGAAUUAGGAAAAUAUAUGGCCAGAGGAUUCUUGGACCACGCUACAAAGGUUUUGAAACUGAAGAGCGGCCAGAUGAAUUCAGCCUUGUCUGUCUCACUGGUCCUGACUUCUGGUAGAAGAGCUAAGACAACAAUUAAAAGCUAUUCCUGUUGCAUUGUAAA